GAUGAAGAACGUAGCGAAAUGCGAUAAGUAAUGUGAAUUGCAGAAUUCCGUGAAUCAUCGAAUCUUUGAACGCACAUUGCGCCCCCUGGUAUUCCGGGGGGUAUGCCUGUCCGAGCGUCAUUGCAACCUUCAAGCGCGGCUUGUGUGUUGGGUCUCGUCCCCCGUGGACGGGCCCGAAAGGCAGUGGCGGCGUCCCGACAUGGUGCCCGAGCGUAUGGGAAUCCUCUUCCGCUCGAAUCGGCCCAUGCGGCGCUGGUCGUAACCAAAUUUUUUACCGGUUGACCUCGGAUCAGGUAGGGAUACCCGCUGAACUUAAGCAUAUCAAUAAGCGGAGGA
rnacentral:misc_RNA from 1 species